rnacentral:tRNA from 1 species
ACAUCCUUAGCUCAGUGGAUAGAGCAGUAGCCUUCUAAGCUAUUGGUCAUUGGUUCGAAUCCAAUAGGAUGUGCCA